CCUACGGGAGGCUGCAGUGGGGAAUAUUGGACAAUGGGGGCAACCCUGAUCCAGCAAUACCGCGUGUGUGAAGAAGGCCUUCGGGUUGUAAAGCACUUUAGGCGGGGAAGCGGUACCCGCAGAAUAAGCACCGGCUAACUCUGUGCCAGCAGCCGCGGUAAUACAGAGGGUGCAAGCGUUAAUCGGAAUUACUGGGCGUAAAGGGCGCGUAGGUGGUUGCGUAAGUGAGAUGUGAAAUCCCCGGGCUUAACCUGGGACGUGCAUCUUAUACUGCGUAACUGGAGUACAAGAGAGGGUAGUGGAAUUUCCGGUGUAGCGGUGAAAUGCGUAGAUAUCGGAAGGAACACCAGUGGCGAAGGCGGCUACCUGCUGAUACUGACACUGAGGCGCGAGAGCGUGGGGAGCAAACAGGAUUAGAUACCCCGGUAGUC
rnacentral:rRNA from 1 species